UCGAAGCGGCGUCGCGGAAGGGGCGGGAUGUGUCGGGGAGGGUCAUGGGAGGAGGGUCAGCGGUGCCGGUGUGGGCUGAGCUGGGCGUCAUGUUGGGAGUGGCUUUUACCCCGCCUCCUGAGUCCUGGCUAGCGUUGCCUUGGGGGCUCGGCCUCAUCCCUGUGGUUGAGUCAGACGCGCCUGUCCUGAGCGGGUGGCAGGGCCCAGUGACCGGGCCGGCUCUGUGGGGCAGACUCAUGUUUAUGUUCCCGCUGUACUCCAGAGAUUUAACAAGGAGAUUUCUAGUAACUCUAAUCUAUUCACAAAUACUAUAGGAACUUCUGCCAUUGAGAACAUCACAUGAUGCUGAUUGUUGCCAUUUUGGCAUUCAAAAGAGGAGACUUUUUAUAGGAUGCAUGCAAAUAUUUAAUUUGCACAGCCUAUAGUAAAUAUUUCACCUAAAACAUUGACAUUGUUCCUAAAUUGUUGUGCAGCAGUUAAUUAUAGUAGGUUUGAACAUAGAAACAGAAUCCAAAUGUUGUUAAUUAGGAAGACCACGGUUGCUAUUAAUGCAGUUUUAGUUAUGAGCAGAAUGUAAUGAUUCCAUAAUGAAUAGGUAGCUUAGGUUUAUGGAGACUGGGCCAUGUUAGACCCAUUUGACUGGUUUCUUUUUAUCUUAGAACGUUUUAGGAACAAUUACAAAAUUAGUGCACGAGAAUGCAGUAAAUGUCAUGUAUCUGAUGUUUAGUAAACCAUUUGAUACCGUG